rnacentral:rRNA from 1 species
UACGGAGGGGGCUAGCGUUAUUCGGAAUUAUUGGGCGUAAAGGGCGCGUAGGCGGCACGGCAAGUCGGGAGUGAAAGCCCGGGGCUCAACCCCGGAGGGUCUCUCGAAACUGCCGAGCUAGAGUGCGGAAGAGGCAAUCGGAAUUCCCAGUGUAGCGGUGAAAUGCGUAGAUAUUGGGAAGAACACCGGAGGCGAAGGCGGAUUGCUGGGCCGACACUGACGCUGAGGCGCGAAAGCCAGGGGAGCAAACGGG